GUGAGGAAUUUUCCGCAAUGGGCGAAAGCCUGACGGAGCAAUGCCGCGUGAAGGAUGAAGGCCUAUGGGUUGUAAACUUCUUUUCUCAGAAAAGAAUUAUGACGGUAUCUGAGGAAUAAGCAUCGGCUAACUCUGUGCCAGCAGCCGCGGUAAGACAGAGGAUGCAAGCGUUAUCCGGAAUGAUUGGGCGUAAAGCGUCUGUAGGUUGUUUAAAAAGUAUUCUGUCAAAGAUUAGGGCUUAACCCUAGAUAGGCAGAAUAAACUUUUAAGCUAGAGUUUGGGAGAGGCAGAGUGAAUUCCCGGUGGAGCGGUGAAAUGCGUAGAUAUCGGGAGGAACACCAAAGGCGAAGGCACUCUGCUGGGCCAAUACUAACACUGAGAGACGAAAGCGAGGGGAGCAAAUGGGAUUAGAUACCCGUGUAGUCC
rnacentral:rRNA from 1 species